ensembl:lncRNA
GCGGUGUGAGUGAAGGAGGCUUUGUUUGGCUAGAUUUGAUUUUAGAUUGGAGAUGUUUGAUAUGAGUCUGGAGGGAGAGUUUACAGUCUAGCCAGACACCUAGGUACUUAUAGAUGUCCAAAUAUUCUAGGUCGGAACCAUCCAGGGUGGUGAUGCUAGUCGGGCGUGCGGGUGCAGGCAGCGAACGGUUGAAAAGCAUGCAUUUGGUUUUACUAGCGUUUAAGAGCAGUUGGAGGCCACGGAAGGAGUGUUGUAUGGCAUUGAAGCUCGUUUGGAGGUUAGAUAGCACAGUGUCCAAGGACGGGCCGGACGUAUACAGAAUGGUUUCGUCUGCGUAGAGGUGGAUCAGGGAAUCGCCCGCAGCAAGAGCAACAUCAUUGAUAUAUACAGAGAAAAGAGUCGGCCCGAGAAUUGAAGCCUGUGGCACCCCCAUAGAGACUGCCAGAGGACCGGACAGCAUGCCCUCCGAUUUGACACACUGAACUCUGUCUGCAAAGUAGUUGGUGAACCAGGCAAGGCAGUCAUUAGAAAAACCGAGGCUACUGAGUCUGCCGAUAAGGAUAUGGUGAUUGACAGAGUCGAAAGCCUUGGCAAGGUCGAUGAAGGCAGCUGCACAGUACUGUCUUUUAUUGAUGGCGGUUAUGAUAUCAUUUAGUACCUUGAGCGUGGCUGAAGUGCACCCGUGACCGGCUCCGAAACCAGAUUGCACAGUGGAGAAGGUACGGUGGGAUUCGAGAUGGUCAGUGACCUGUUUGUUGACUUGGCUUUCGAAGACCUUAGAUAGGCAGGGCAGGAUGGACAUAGGUCUGUAACAGUUUGGGUCCAGGGUGUCUCCCCCUUUGAAGAAGGGAUGACUGCGGCAGCUUUCCAAUCCUUGGGGAUCUCAGACGAUAUGAGAGGUUGAACAGGCUGGUAAUAGGGGUUGCGACAAUGGCGGCGGAUAGUUUCAGAAAUAGAGGGUCCAGAUUGUCAAGCCCAGCUGAUUUGUACGGAUAGGCAGGGCAGGAUGGAUAUAGGUCUGUAACAGUUUGGGUCCAGGGUGUCUCCCCCUUUGAAGAGGGGGAUGACUGCGGCAGCUUUCCAAUCUUUGGGGAUCUCAGACGAUAUGAAAGAGAGGUUGAACAGGCUGGUAAUAGGGGUUGCGACAAUGGCGGCGGAUAGUUUCAGAAAUAGAGGGUCCAGAUUGUCAAGCCCAGCUGAUUUGUACGGGUCCAGGUUUUGCAGCUCUUUCAGAACAUCUGCUAUCUGGAUUUGGGUAAAGGAGAACCUGGAGAGGCUUGGGCGAGGAGCUGCCGGGGGGCCGGAGCUGUUGGCCGAGGUUGGAGUAGCCAGGCGGAAGGCAUGGCCAGCCAUUGAGAAAUGCUUAUUGAAGUCUUCGAUAAUCAUGGAUUUAUCGGUGGUGACCGUGUUACCUAGCCUCAGUGCAGUGGGCAGCUGGGAGGAG